rnacentral:rRNA from 1 species
AAUAUUGCGCAAUGGAGGGAACUCUGACGCAGCGACGCCGCGUGAGCGAUGAAGGUCUUCGGAUCGUAAAGCUCUGUCCUUGGGGAAGAAGGGUGCAUUAUAGCAUCUUGACGGUACCCGAGGAGGAAGCCCCGGCUAACUACGUGCCAGCAGCCGCGGUAAUACGUAGGGGGCAAGCGUUGUCCGGAAUUAUUGGGCGUAAAGGGCUCGCAGGCGGUCUUCUAAGUCUGAUGUGAAAUCUCGUAGCUUAACUACGAACGGUCAUUGGAAACUGGGAGACUUGAGUACAGAAGAGGAGAGUGGAAUUCCACGUGUAGCGGUGAAAUGCGUAGAGAUGUGGAGGAACACCAGUGGCGAAGGCGACUCUCUGGUCUGUAACUGACGCUGAGGAGCGAAAGCGUGGGUAGCGAACA